CCCAAAAACAAACCACAAGCGAAGAUUACUCACAAUUAGACCUCAAAANNUANNAAGAAANAGNNUNNUNCCUUCCCGUAGGGGUGACCUGCGGAAGGAUCAUUACCGAGUGUAGGGUUCCUAGCGAGCCCAACCUCCCACCCGUGUUUACUGUACCUUAGUUGCUUCGGCGGGCCCGCCAUUCAUGGCCGCCGGGGGCUCUCAGCCCCGGGCCCGCGCCCGCCGGAGACACCACGAACUCUGUCUGAUCUAGUGAAGUCUGAGUUGAUUGUAUCGCAAUCAGUUAAAACUUUCAACAAUGGAUCUCUUGGUUCCGGCAUCGAUGAAGAACGCAGCGAAAUGCGAUAACUAGUGUGAAUUGCAGAAUUCCGUGAAUCAUCGAGUCUUUGAACGCACAUUGCGCCCCCUGGUAUUCCGGGGGGCAUGCCUGUCCGAGCGUCAUUGCUGCCCAUCAAGCACGGCUUGUGUGUUGGGUCGUCGUCCCCUCUCCGGGGGGGACGGGCCCCAAAGGCAGCGGCGGCACCGCGUCCGAUCCUCGAGCGUAUGGGGCUUUGUCACCCGCUCUGUAGGCCCGGCCGGCGCUUGCCGAACGCAAAUCAAUCUUUCCAGGUGACCUCGGAUCAGGUA
rnacentral:rRNA from 1 species